AGACUUGAGUAUGUUUGAGGUAGGCGGAAUGCGUGGUGUAGCGGUGAAAUGCAUAGAUAUCACGCAGAACUCCGAUUGCGAAGGCAGCUUGCCAAGCCACAACUGACACUGAAGCACGAAAGCGUGGGUAUCAAACAGGAUUAGAUACCCUGGUAGUCCACGCAGUAAACGAUGAUUACUAGGAGUUUGCGAUAAAAUGUAAGCUCUACAGCGAAAGCGUUAAGUAAUCCACCUGGGGAGUACGCCGGCAACGGUGAAACUCAAAGGAAUUGACGGGGGCCCGCACAAGCGGAGGAACAUGUGGUUUAAUUCGAUGAUACGCGAGGAACCUUACCCGGGUUUGAACGCAGUCCGACCGCCGAUGAAAGUCGGCUUCUAGCAAUAGCGGAUUGCGAGGUGCUGCAUGGUUGUCGUCAGCUCGUGCCGUGAGGUGUCGGCUUAAGUGCCAUAACGAGCGCAACCCUUGCCGUUAGUUACUAACAAGUUAUGUUGAGGACUCUAGCGGGACUGCCAGCGUAAGCUGUGAGGAAGGCGGGGAUGACGUCAAAUCAGCACGGCCCUUACAUCCGGGGCGACACACGUGUUACAAUGGCGUGGACAAAGAGCAGCCACUUGGCGACAAGGAGCUAAUCUCCAAACCACGUCUCAGUUCGGAUCGGAGUCUGCAACUCGACUCCGUGAAGCUGGAUUCGCUAGUAAUCGCGCAUCAGCCAUGGCGCGGUGAAUACGUUCCCGGGCCUUGUACACACCGCCCGUCAAGCCAUGGGAGCCGGNNNNNCCUGAAGUCCGUAACCGCGAGGAUCGGCCUAGGGUAAAACUGGUGACUGGGGAUAAGUCGUAACAAGGUAACCA
rnacentral:rRNA from 1 species